UACGUAGGGUGCAAGCGUUGUCCGGAAUUAUUGGGCGUAAAGAGCGUGUAGGCGGCCCGAUUAGUCCGCUGUGAAAGUCCAGGGCUCAACCCUGGAAUGCCGGUGGAUACUGUCGGGCUAGAGUCCGGAAGGGGCGAGUGGAAUUCCUGGUGUAGCGGUGAAAUGCGCAGAUAUCAGGAGGAACACCAAUGGCGAAGGCAGCUCGCUGGGACGUGACUGGCGCUGAGACGCGAAAGCUAGGGGAGCAAACAGG
rnacentral:rRNA from 1 species